CCUACGGGAGGCAGCAGUAAGGAAUCUUCCACAAUGGACGAAAGUCUGAUGGAGCAACGCCGCGUGCAGGAUGAAGGCUUUCGGGUCGUAAACUGCUUUUAUAUGGGAAGAUUAUGACGGUACCAUAUGAAUAAGGACCGGCUAACUACGUGCCAGCAGCCGCGGUAAUACGUAGGGUCCAAGCGAUAUCCGGAAUUACUGGGCGUAAAGCGUGUGUAGGUGGAUUAAUAAGUGUGAUGCGAAAUCCGGCGGCUCAACCGUUUGGACUGUGUCGCAUACUGUUAGUCUAGAGGACGGCAGAGGUAAGUGGAAUUACGGGUGUAGCAGUGAAAUGCGUAGAUAUCCGUAGGAACACCAAUGGCGAAGGCAGCUUACUGGGCCACACCUGACACUGAGACACGAAAGCGUGGGGAGCGAACAGGAUUAGAUACCCUGGUAGUCCACGCCGUAAACGAUGCAUACUAUUAGUAUGGGGUAUCGACCCCCUGUGCUGAGAAGCUAACGCGAUAAGUAUGCCGCCGNGGAGUACGAGCGCAGACUAACUACAANAGAGUAGACGCGUGAGACGUGCGACGGACGACGACGAGGGAGGAGG
rnacentral:rRNA from 1 species